GCGAACGCUGGCGGCAGGCUUAACACAUGCAAGUCGAGCGCCCCGCAAGGGGAGCGGCAGACGGGAGAGUAACACGUGGGAACGUACCUUUCAGUUCGGGACAACCAAGGGAAACUUUGGCUAAUACCGGAUACGCCCGUAAGGGGAAAGAUUUAUCGCUGAAAGAUCGGCCCGCGUCUGAUUAGCUAGUUGGUGAGGUAAUGGCUCACCAAGGCUACGAUCAGUAGCUGGUCUGAGAGGAUGAUCAGCCUCACUGGGACUGAGACACGGCCCAGACUCCUACGGGAGGCAGCAGUGGGGAAUAUUGGACAAUGGGCGCAAGCCUGAUCCAGCCAUGCCGCGUGAGUGAUGAAGGCCUUAGGGUUGUAAAGCUCUUUCGUCAGGGAAGAUAAUGACGGUACCUGAAGAAGAAGCCCCGGCUAACUUCGU
rnacentral:rRNA from 1 species